rnacentral:tRNA from 2 species
GGCCCCUUGGUCAAGCGGUCAAGACGCGACCCUCUCACGGUCGAAUCAGGAGUUCGAUUCUCCUAGGGGUCA